GUUUGACCUGAAGAAAUACUCCAGAUCAGAGGAAGGUCUUCUGAGGCUGCUGCCAGUGGUCAAAGCCUCCAGAGCUGUUCUGUGAUUAAAUAAAAUACAUGCUGUCAGGCUGUCAAGUCACAGAGGAAAGCUGUGCUUCUCUGGCCUCAGCUCUGAGGUCAAACCCCUCACACCUGAGAGAGCUGGACCUGAGCUACAAUCACCCAGGAGACUCAGGAGUCAGACUGCUCUCUGCUGGACUGGAGGAUCAACACUGCAGACUGGAGAAACUCAAGUCUCCUGGGACUGAAGGUGUAUCUGCUGAGUUAAACAGAACUGUGUCUCACCAGUUGGUCCCUUUUCUGUUGGAGGACUCCUGGGACUGAUGGUGUAUCUGCUGAGUUUAACAGAACUGUUUCUGUUGGAGGUCUCCUGGGACUGAUGGUGUAUCUGCUGAUUUUAACAGAACUGUUUCUGUUGGAGGUCUCCUGGGACUGAUGGUGUAUCUGCUGAGUUUAACAGAACUGUUUCUGUUGGAGGUCUCGUGGGGACUGAUGGUGUAUCUGCUGAGUUUAACAGAACU